CUUGUUUGGGGUGUUAAUCUUCUGAUCACCUGUGUCACCUGAAGUACAACUUUCUUUGGGUUGAGUGAACUUAAAAUCACGCAUGUCUCUAACACUAUCAUCCUCUUGACUGCCUUUUCUGCUCAAAUCUCUUGAUGAGGUUCGAGGUUUUAAGCAAUCUGUAGUGAGAUCAUUUUUCUUGCACUUGUUUGGGGCGUUAAUCUUCUGAUCACCAGUGUCACCAGAAGUACAACUUUCUUUGGGCUGAUUGAAGUUGGAAUCACAUACGUCUUUGACAGCAUCAUUCACUUGACUGACCUUUUUUCUCAAAUCUCUUGGUGACCUUCGAGGUUUUAAGCAAUCUGUAUUGAGAUCAUUUUUCUUACACUUGUUUGGGGUGUUAAUCUUCUGAUCACCUGUGUCACCUGAAGUACAACUUUCUUUGUGCUGAGUGAGGUUGCACUCAUGUAUGUCUUUGAUACUAUCAUCCUCCUUACCA
rnacentral:lncRNA from 1 species